rnacentral:snoRNA from 1 species
GCUCAGAUGAUGCUAAAACAUCAAGUUAUUCCUGAGAUUCUCUUUGAGGAUUACAAAGUCGAGCUUUUUAAAGCUGAUGAGUA